rnacentral:lncRNA from 1 species
GUUUUUGUAAGUGAACAACAUAUAAUCAAAUCAGAAUCUCUUAAGAAUUUAUACAAAAUGCAUUUUUAGUACAACUCCUUACCGAAGUGGCUAUUACAUUCCAGAAAAGUUGCUUUACAAUCGCGCCAGCACUGCCCCUCUACGCAGAAACGUUUGCAAACCGACAGCUUACUGCGAAUGCCUUGGUCUACUUUCUCCCAGCUGUUCUGCACAUCUGGCCACAGCUGGUUUAUUUCAGAAUGGACCUGUGUAGGGGAGGAUCUGCAGCCUCCUCUCUCUCUUCUAUUGGCUCAUCCUUAUGGGACUCUCUGGGCUUGCUGGCAUUUCAUUGGCCUGGCUUGCCCCCUUCCCCGUGAGCUAAUUGGAGGAGCGGGAUGGAGGGGACGGAAUCCCCUUUGGUUUAUUGGGAAGGGGGAGCGGAGUUAUGCCCGGUCACCUGCGGCUCGGGCAGCUGUGGUGCCUCCGGCGCCUCACCCCCACCUCUCGCUGCUGCUGGGGGGAGCCGGAGCUCGAGCUGGAGCUGCCGGGCCCGCCGCUGUCAGGGGAAAUGGCCAAAGACAAGCGACACACACAAAGAACAUGGCGAGGGAAGGAGGAGUCUGAGCCGACGGCAGCUGCGCUCCCCCGCCCGAAGGACGCUCCGGGGAGGGAGGACAAUGCCCAGCCCACUCUGGCCCAGCUGCCGCCCGGCUCCCGGGGGAGGGGGCUGUUUUCCCAGGGCUGGGCGCCCCUGGUGUUUCCGCCUGCCCCACGCUGUAACAAACUACGCGCAAGUGCUACUGAACAGGACGCAGCUGGAGUGAGAUCUGCAGCGACUGUUCCUCCAGAAGUACUGAAGAUAGGAUCCAACUGCCGAGUGUGCAACUUCAGGAAUAAUCUUUUUCCCCACUCCAAACUACUAGCCACAGCAACUUGCUAUUUCACAUUACCAUAUGAAAAUCGCAUCCACUUCAUUGUGGAUACUUCUGUCACAGAUCAUAGAUGCAGAGAAUCUUCUCCUAAUGGCCAAGCAGUGUGGUGUUCCCUGGUUGAGUGUGCAUCUUACAUAAAUUAUAAAGGAAGCUGAAAUAGGAAGAAUUGGGCCCAACAACAAGCAAGUUGAAGACCCAUUGCAGAGGAGCCAAUUUUUUUUUUAGCUAACGAUGGAGGCAGAAAACUAUG